rnacentral:rRNA from 1 species
GACGAACCUGACAAACGUUAUUCGGAAUUACUGGGCUUAAAGCGCGCGUAGGCGGCCCUGUAAGUCCGUUGUGAAAGUCAAAGGCUCAACCUUUGAAAGCCGAUGGAUACUGCAGGGCUAGAGUCCGGAAGAGGCGAGUGGAAUUCCUGGUGUAGCGGUGGAAUGCGCAGAUAUCAGGAGGAACACCAAUAGCGAAGGCAGCUCGCUGGGACGGUACUGACGCUAAGGCGCGAAAGCGUGGGGAGCGAACAGG